rnacentral:rRNA from 1 species
CUACGGGUGGCUGCAGCAGGGAAUAUUGCACAAUGGACGGAAGUCUGAUGCAGCGACGCCGCGUGGAUGAUGAAGGCCUUCGGGUUGUAAAAUCCUUUUCAGGGAGAAGAGGAAGGACGGUAUCCCUGGAAUAAGCGUCGGCUAACUACGUGCCAGCAGCCGCGGUAAUACGUAGGACGCAAGCGUUAUCCGGAUUUACUGGGCGUAAAGCGUCUGUAGGCGGUUUAGUAAGUUUGAUGUGAAAGCUCCAGGCUCAACUUGGAGAGUGCAUUGAAUACUGCUAGACUUGAGGGGAUCAGAGGAAAGCGGAAUUUCCGGUGUAGCGGUAAAAUGCGCAGAUAUCGGAAAGAACACCAGUGGCGAAGGCGGCUUUCUGGGAUCAACCUGACGCUGAGAGACGAAAGCUAGGGUAGCGAACAGGAUUAGAUACCCCCGUAGUC